CUCUUCAAUCUGCUGGGGACAAAUAAAAUGAAUAUGGGCGUCAAUGGCACCGGCCGUCAGGAUUUGCCCUUCACCGGCGAUCACCUCGGUACCGGGGCCAAUAAUAAUGGUCACAUCCGGCUGAAUAUCCGGAUUACCGGCCUUGCCAAUCGCCGUGAUACGCCCCGCUUUGAUGGCUACGUCGGCCUUGACGACGCCCCAGUGAUCCAAGAUCAAGGCAUUGGUAAUCACCGUAUCUGGGGUAUGGGCACUGCCCAGCUGGCCUUGCCCCAUGCCGUCGCGAA
rnacentral:sRNA from 1 species